rnacentral:rRNA from 1 species
AAAUGAAUUGACGGGGCCGCACAAGCGGUGGAGCAUGUGGUUUAAUUCGAUGCAACGCGAAGAACCUUACCUGGCUUGACAUCCCGGGAAUCCCCUGGAAACAGGGGAGUGCCCUUCGGGGAACCCGGUGACAGGUGCUGCAUGGCUGUCGUCAGCUCGUGUCGUGAGAUGUUGGGUUAAGUCCCGCAACGAGCGCAACCCUUGUCUUUAAUUGCCAUCAUUUAGUUGGGCACUUUAAAGAGACUGCCGGUGUUAAGCCGAGGAAGGUGGGGAUGACGUCAAGUCCUCAUGGCCUUUAUGACCAGGGCUACACACGUACUACAAUGGCCGGUACAAAGGGCAGCCACUUAGCGAUAAGGAGCCAAUCCCGUAAAGCCGGUCUCAGUCCGGAUUGGAGUCUGCAACUCGACUCCAUGAAGUUGGAAUCGCUAGUAAUCGCAGAUCAGCACGCUGCGGUGAAUACGUUCCCGGGCCUU